rnacentral:rRNA from 1 species
CCCCUAGAUGUUCUGGGCCGCACGCGCGCUACACUGAACAGUUCAACAAGUCUUAACCUUGGCCGAUAGGUCUGGGUAAUCUUUGAACGCUGUUCGUGAUUGGGAUAGACCUUUGCAAUUAUGGGUCUUCAACGAGGAAUUCCUAGUAAACGCAAGUCAUCAGCUUACAUUGAUUACGUCCCUGCCCUUUGUACACACCGCCCGUCGCACCUACCGAUUGAAUGGUCCGGUGAAAUCUCGGGACGGCGGCUUGGUCGCUUGCGUCCGACUGCUGAAACUUGAUUAAACCAUAUCAUUUAGAGGAAGGUGAANUCGUANCA